CAAAACCACUGUGAGGAUCAAAGCAAAGUAUGGCCCCCAUAGAAUCCCGCAUCAGCAGUGAGAAUGCUGUCUUCAAAGAGGAGGAAGACAAGGAAGAAGAGGAGAAAGAGAAGGAAGAGAAAGAAGAGGAGGAAGAGGCGCACUGGAUGUGUUUGCUGUAAAACCCAAUCCCAACUUAAGGAA
rnacentral:lncRNA from 1 species